rnacentral:rRNA from 1 species
GACGAACGCUGGCGGCGUGCCCAAUACAUGCAAGUAGAACGCUGAAGAGAGGAGCUUGCUCUUCUUUGAUGAGUUGCGAACGGGUGAGUAACGCGUAGGUAACCUGCCUUGUAGCGGGGGAUAACUAUUGGAAACGAUAGCUAAUACCGCAUAACAAUGGAUGACACAUGUCAUUUAUUUGAAAGGGGCAAUUGCUCCACUACAAGAUGGACCUGCGUUGUAUUAGCUAGUAGGUGAGGUAAUGGCUCACCUAGGCGACGAUACAUAGCCGACCUGGGAGGGUGAUCGGCCACACUGGGACUGAGACACGGCCCAGACUCCUACGGGAGGCAGCAGUAGGGAAUCUUCGGCAAUGGGGGCAACCCUGACCGAGCAACGCCGCGUGAGUGAAGAAGGUUUUCGGAUCGUAAAGCUCUGUUGUAAGUCAAGAACGGGUGUGAGAGUGGAAAGUUCACACUGUGACGGUAGCUUACCAGAAAGGGACGGCUAACUACGUG